UACGAGGGGGGCAAAUGUUGUUCGGAAUCACUGGGCGUAAAGGGCGCGUAGGCGGCCUUCUAAGUCGGACGUGAAAUCCCUCGGCUCAACCGAGGAACUGCGUCUGAUACUGGAAGGCUUGAAUCCGGGAGAGGGAUGUGGAAUUCCAGGUGUAGCGGUGAAAUGCGUAGAUAUCAGGAGGAAUACCGAUGGCGAAGGCAGGUCUCUGGGCUGAUACUGACGCUCAUGCACGAAAGCGUGGGGAGCAAACAGG
rnacentral:rRNA from 1 species